UAGCUACACAAUCAAGUAUUCAAAAACUGGGUAUCGUUUGACGUAUGCAACUGUACUGGGAGCAGGGCACACACCUCAAGAGUACAAGCGUAGAGAAUGUUAUGAGAUGUACCAAAGGUGGAUCCAUUACAAUCCUCUCUAGUUGUUUCUUUAAGCCGAUUAAUGUUUUUGUGAGAUGUCCCAGAACUUAUUACAAUACUAUCCUCUUAGUGGACUUUUGUGAUUCUAAAUUGUAUUCAAAUUUUCUUCCUUCCAAUGGCUCAUUAUCAUAAUUAACUUGUAGAGCAUUUGUGCA